UACGUAGGUGGCGAGCGUUGUCCGGAUUUAUUGGGUUUAAAGGGUGCGUAGGCGGUCCUAUAAGUCAGUGGUGAAAUAUCGCAGCUCAACUGUGAGGGUGCCAUUGAUACUGUAGGACUUGAGUGAAUUUGAGGUAGGCGGAAUUGACGGUGUAGCGGUGAAAUGCUUAGAUAUCGUCAAGAACACCGAUAGUGAAGACAGCUUACCAAGCUUCAACUGACGCUGAGGCACGAAAGCGUGGGGAGCAAACAGG
rnacentral:rRNA from 1 species